GCUGGGGAGGCGUCUGUGGUCCUGGUUCCCCUAUAUUUGCUCUGGUGAAGCUGAUAUUGAGGCAAGGCCCAGCAUACAAAGGAAUUAAAAGUGAAAAUCUAUGGAGAAGAACCCCUCUGACAAACAGGCUUUCUUCUCACAACGUGAUGGCAGAACCACUGGGAAGGCCACAGCUGGCCUCUGUCCUGCCCUCAGUGACGCUUUUCCAGAAGAGAGCAAUGCGAGUGGGGAUGCAGAAUUGUCAACUAUGGAAAAGAAGCACCACAGUCCUCCCUAACCUAAAGGAGAAAGCAGUAGAGAGCACCUUUGGUCACCCCUCUGUUUUUUUGGAUUGGAGUACUGAGCAGAAAAAAAGGAGAAAAGGAGAUGCACGUCAUCUACAGCUACCUACCUGCAGGCAGUGACCUCCAACGUGAUGGUAAAAGUGGCACUUGGAAGAGAAUUUGUUCCCUACAGCUGCAGCACAAGAGCAUGCCUAUACAGCCACCAUUGCAGAUAUCUUUUUCUUUUUUUCCUAACAGGUGCCAGCCAACAUUUUUCUUCUCUCUUUCUUUAAUUCUUUGACCGUUCCACAGUAGGGUCUCACUAACGUUCCACAGUCCAUCUGCACCCACUUCCACAUUUUGCAGAUCUAACUGCUCAAUGCUUGCACCAUGUACUAAGAUCUCAGGUGAUUUUGUGUCCCUAGUGCUUCUCAGAAGCAAUUUCAAAGACCGUGGCCUUUUGGAGAGUAAGCUUGACAGAAACAGCUGUAGGCCAAACUGCCAUCUGAAACCCUUCCUUAAAUGCUGGAGUGGGGAUCUGACAUGGAUAUAUCCUUGUUAAGAUUUUUCUCUGUUCAUUUCUAAAUUUCAUCUGUGUGCAAAUAAUAUUCCGACAGCCCUUCUUGCUACAGUUAUUAUCAUUUGACAUAACCAUUAAGGACUGAGGUAUAGCAAACUUUCUAAAUAAAUUAAGAGCAUCACUUGACCUGGGGAACAACUUUGGUUCAGGAGAAGUUUGAUGAGCUUUUACUGCAUUACCAUCACAGAUGGAAGUCAUCAGAACAUCUAAAACAGUCCACACUAAAGAGCUUUGGUUGGCAGAAGAAGGCUGGCCUCUGCCAGGUUUAACAUUCCAAGUAUUUAUUACCUCUAUCUCCUUAGGGAACACCAGACACUAUGUAAGUUAUUCAGUCUUUUAUCUGUAUGGGAAACCUUCAUCUUGUUGGUUUGUUUUGGGUUUUUUUUUGCAAAAGACUUAGAAAUUCUACAUUUAAAAUUGGUCAUGGCUGCAGUCCCACAGAAUCUGAAAGAGUUGUAUAAAUUUCUAAGGCAUUCACCCAGAUCUCGCUGGGAAUCCCUCCACAUACGUAAAA